GAUGUAUUUUGGCAUAGAUUCACUAGCAGUUAUGAACCCCAGAACCAAAUGGGGACAUAUCUCUUUAAAUAUUCAAUUCAGCUUGACCUGGAGCAGCCAUCUUAGCAUUAUAAGGAUACCACUGUUCUAGCAGAGCUCAGUAAUCCAGAGACUAUCUCAGAUUCUGUGGGUAAUUGAGAUUAUAACCAAAUUCCAUCAAGAGGAAAUUAGUUGAUUGGUUGUCUUCAGCCUCUGGCUUCAGUGGGUAGGUGUUGGCUGUUGAAAAUGGUGCUGCUUUCUCACUGUGCCCUGCUGAGAUUCCACAGGUGUAGGUCUGAGUAGGGAGAGGAAGACUUCUUAGCCUCAGCCAUGGUUACCCCUUGCCAGCAGACAGUGGGCCCAAUAUCAUGCAGCCACGUACAGACACCCACUCUAAACACAUAGGUGCUCAUACAGCUUACUUAUUUAUUUUCUUUUUGUGGCAAACCCACUGUGUCAAGGUGGUUGGUUCAGGAAAGUUUUCCAUGGAAGAAAACUGUGCCUAAGAAAACCCAGGCCUAAUCUGCAGCCUGACUCCAUAGUCCAGAAUCUAUUCUUUGUGACAUAACUAAGAACUCCAAAGGUGAGCCAACAAACCAAGUGAAAGACAUCAAAUAAUUGCAUCACUAUUUCCCUUGAGGGAUUUUGUCCUAAAGACUAAGAAAACCCUCUUAAAUUAGCUCUAAUUAAAUGUUGUGAAUCUGUGGUUCCACCAUUCAGAAAAUGGAUUGCCUCAUUGUGUUUUUUCCAUGUUACUAAGAGAGAGAUUGGGAUUCUUUAAAGGAAGAUUAAAAGCAUGGAAGGGACAAAAGGAAACAGUGAAAACAGAAAAAAAACUUGGCAAAGAGAACCCGAACUGGAUUUCAGCCCUGACUUCUGCCUGCUCAUCUGGACAGUUUCGUCCAAGGAAAUGUGAGAUCUCUUCGGCCAAGAAGAACAACCUGAGGACUCUAUUUCUGGAGCAUUUGACUCUUGGUCCUUGUGAGCUCCUUGUUCCUGCAAAGUUGGCUGGGGUCACCAUAGUCGGUCAAAAAAAUCCAUCAAUGACAGAGAUAGGGAAUCUCCAAUCUCUAUCCCAAGAUGUGUUCUCGAUGACUUAA
rnacentral:lncRNA from 1 species